rnacentral:lncRNA from 1 species
UUUUUUUUUUUUUUUUUUUUCUGUUGGAGAGCUAUUCAUGACAUUAUUUUAGGGUUUAGGGCUUAGGGUUAAUACAUUAUCUACUGACCAUGCCUUAAUCAAUUGCAUCAAAGCUAGACAUAUUUGGAGCAUCGAUCAUUGCAAAAACUCCCCUAAUCCAGUCCGACUACUACAACAGCUUCAAAGACCGUUGGCAUGCUCAUCUCAACAUGCUCUAAAGAGGAUCUCAUCAACAUAUUUAUGCUAUCACCUGCUGGACAAUCUGGGAUGACAGAAAUAAAGCAAUCAACAAUCUCCAAAUCCAAGAUAGCCCAAACAAGAAGCUCCUGGAUUAUGAAAUACUAUGAGGAAUUCUUAAAAGCCUCCUUUUCUAAAAAUCAAGAUAUCAAUUUAAAAAAGAAAAAGAAUAAUUAAACUCACCUCCGUAACUGGAUCAAGCCGCCUAGAGUUCCCUUCCUCAAACGACGGGCUCAAGUGUUGUUCUACGAAACUCUGACGACUUUCUUUUUAAUUGAUGUUUAAUAUAAUAUAUAUUUCUUGAAAAGAACUAAUUGUCAGUACCAAACUCCACGUAGAAUCUUUGACAUUAUUUAGUUUUUGCAUCAUCAUCUCUAUCGGGAUAGUGUAGCUGAGGUAAUUAGGUGCACUCUCUGAUCUCUCUUAUCUUUAUGUUCUUUUGUUCCAUAAAAAAAUUAUCACCAUCAACUUUUGAGGUUAGUUUUCGUAAUUUUUGUUCUGAAAUUAAUUUCUCAUAGUAAUUUAUAUGAAAAGAAUAGUACGUAUUAAGUCAAAGAAAUAUAAAAUUAUUAGUAUGUUGUGUUAGUUGUCUUUAAUUAUAAAAAAAAAAACUUGCAUAAAUUUGAUAAUAUAUUACUAGUUGUUUUAAAACUAAAUAAAACAAACAAGUUGUUGGAAUGUGAAGAUAAUGACUCAAUCGAAUAAGUUGUUAAAAAGUUAUAAUUGUUUUUAUUAAUAUAUUGUUUUUGUUAAGUUUAACUAAAAAUAUCUCUACUGGAUAUAAUAUUAUUGUAUUAAUAUUUAUACAAUUAUUUCUAAAGUAAAAUAAAUAUAGGAAUUGUAUAAAUUAUACUUAUAUGAACUUUCAGAAUUUAAUAUUCAUUUUCAUAAACUUAAGUGUCCAAUUUUAAUUAAUAAUUCUCUAAACUCUACGACUUCAACUUUGAUUGCAGGGUGAUUUUUACCAUUCGUCUUCAUAAAUAAAUAAGGACCUUUGUAUACGAAAAACUAACUUUUACAAUCUUAUUCAAAUAAAUUAUCUUCAAUCAUACGGAAAAAUUAAUAGAAAUAUAACAUGGCUAAAAUAUUUGUAUAAUUGAAUGGUUAUAUAAAAUGUGUUAUCAACCUUGAAAUUAUAGGUUUAAUAUCCAUUUCCACACUAUUAAUCACAUAGCAGUGACAUCCAAAAGCAUUUUUGACCCCUUCUAUAAUCUUUUAGUUUUUUGUUUUUAGUUAGCAAUUAUUAGAAUUUCCUAUAAAAAAAAAUUUAACCCUUUAAAUAAACAUUCAAAUUCUUUACAAAAUUAAAAUAUAAAAUACAUAUAAUUAAACAAGUUUUCAAAACUUGAUUUUAGUUUUAAAAAUAAUUAUAAAAAGUAAAUAUCCUAAAACAAAUAAAUGUAUAGUUAGAAAUGAAUAUGCUCACUUUCACUUUUCCCACGUUUAGUUUUUCUUUUUCUAAAAUUAAUGAAUACGUACAUGUGAUUUCUUAUACUACAAAAUGUACUUUUUAUUCCUUAUAUUUAUAAGAAUAUGCUCAUUCCGUUUCUAAAUUUUUAAAAUGUAUCUUUUUAUAUUUGGUUUCUAAGUUUUUAAAAUGUAUCUUUUUAGUUUCGAUAUAUUGAUAAAAAUAGGUUGAAAAGAGUUGUAGAAGUAUUUUUUGUUUGGUUUUUUAAAAAUAACUAUUUGACAUAAUAUUUAAAAUUAGAAUAAGUAGUUUUAGUGAAGAUAUAUAAAUUUUAGAAAUUAUUAAUCUAAUUUAAAAUUCUGUAUAUAAUUAUUUAAAAAAGAAGUAUAAAGUGAUUGGAUAGACCUUUCAAACUUAUUUUAAUUCACAAUGGAAGCAAGUACAUCUUAAAAACCAAAUCCAAGUAGUCUUUAAAACUUGAAAACUUAAAAAAGGAGUUUGCUAAAUAAUUAUAAAAGGUUGAGAGAAAAUGGGUCAAUCGGCCAUGACAAUGAUUACCUAUUUAAACAAGCUUUUUUACACCAAAUAUUAUAUAAGGUACAAUAACACUCACAAAAAAAUAAAUUAAAUUAAAGUACUAUAUAAAUUAUAAAUGUGUAAUUUUCUUUAUAUACUAUUGGUUUAGGAGCAGGAUGAGGAUGCGUGUUAUAAAAGUAUCAAUUACCUAGUUGAAAUAUUGGGAUUUAUUUACUAUCUUCCUUCUCUAGUAUCUUGUUAAAAAAAUAUAAUAACUAAACCAUCAACGUUAUAAUAAUAAUAUACAAAAAUCAUAUAAAACGCGUUUGGAGCUCUUGAUUGUUUUUUGCUCCCCAAGUUUUCUUCUUUUUUUCUUUUUAAUCUCCAAAGUUUUCCAUAUACUCUUUCUCUCUUACAUCAUUCAAUCUUUUAAUUAAGUAAGAUGUAAUUUUAAAUGGAGACUUAGCUAAAAGACGAAGACAAGGUCUUCCAAGACUAAUAUUAAUUUAUUGCUUAAAUAAAAUACUAUAAUUAAUUUUUAAUUCCUCUUUCAAUACUUAUCAGAGAGAUUGAAUAUUGAAUAAUGAGAUCAUAAAUACUAUAGUAAUAUCCAUCAUAAAUCCUGUAGGUCAACUGUUAUCACGUUUCAUUUUAAUUUUAGAUGUAUAUAAAUAUUAGACAAGGUUUAAUAAACAAAAUUCAAAUUGUCGAUGUCAUAUUUUUUAUUUGAACUCAACAAAUAGAGUUAGAAUCAUUGAAUAUUAUUGGUAAAGCUAAGUAUAAGUAUCUUUCUUAAGAAAAAGUUAUAAGCUAAUUGUAAGUAUCUUAAUCCCAGGCUGCUGUAUACACUCUCCAAGAUUUUUAUUUUCUACCUACACAUUCGUUUUCGUCGGCAGAAAGACAAAUAUCUCCAAUUCUCCAUGAACGUAAAAUUCUUGCAGUGAUAGUCAUACAAACAAACAUAUAUACAUAAAUUAAACUACAAUGACUAGUGCCCCAUGUCUAGAUGAUUUUCACACAAUAUAGAAUUUAACUAUGAUUAUGUACGCAUUUAGCUUGAGAGAAGAUGUCCCAACUAUAAAUGACUAUAUAUCAUCUAGAAGAGAUGUUCUCAACCCAACUGAGGCGUUUGAUCAACAAAUAUAUCAAAACUUCUUUCAAAUUAUUGUGCUUUAACUUCUCUGCUCUCUUGAAAAUUUUCAUAUAUUUUUCACUUAAUAGUUUGAAAUAGAGUAUUAUUUUCUAAAAAUAUACACAUUAUUUUUGUGAUGCAAUGAUACCAUGAUACGGACACUAAUGCAUUGAAUAUUAUUAGAACUUAAUUAAACAUAUUUGGACGAAAGUAGUACUAAGUUGGGUAUCGAUUUGAGACGUCUUCGUGUGUUAUGUCCUUGUAAAAAGAUACACGUGUUUCAACUUCAGUGUUCUCAUCGAUACUUACUAAAUAAAUAUGUUCAUAGAACGGAUGAUUAACUAUAGGUUUUUUUAAAUGAACUUAUUUGGCCUAGCAUAGUCUCGCGUGAUGUCCCCCCAUUUAGAUGAGGUGUUGUUCAUUCACACAUUUCUUUUACUUGAAAAAGACGACAUUGAAUGAGAAUUAUUGCAAAAUGUGAAUACCGCUAGAUGUAUCCCUAAUAACUAAUAACUAUAAGUAAGGGAAGUACAACAAUUUUAAUUUAUCUAAUCACUAAUACCUCAAAUAGAGAUUUUAGAAAACACGUAGUGCGUUUUUAAUUCUAACCAACAAAUUGAAUUUCAAACCCUCCUUUUCUUUAACUUGAGAGAUCAAGAACAAAAGAUAGAUCUAUGAAACAUUUGAUUGUAUCAUUCAUAUCAUGAAAGGGAAAAAGAGAGUUAUAUAUGGAAGACAUUAAAACACCGACCAUUAUUAUAAAUGAAAAUUAGAAAAAUUAAAAACUAAUGGAACCGAAAAUAAAAUCAGUGAGAGCACCAAUCCCCAAACUUUCAACAAGAGAAAACAUUGUACUCCCAAACAAUGAUCCGAAGCUCGACGACGGCGAAUUACCAUGAUGAUUAUUGUUGUAAGGAUUCGGAUACCCCCAACCAUGAAAUUGUUGUUGGGGAGGUGGCCACGUCCCCCACGGCGGCGGUGCAUAGUGGUGGUGCAUCCCACGCGAACCAGAAGUCUGUUGGACAGUCGAUUUUCGAAGGCAAUUGAGAUGGAUAUUGACUUCACAAACAGUACAUCCAUAAACCCAGAGAGACGAACAGUCUUCUUUGCAAAUAGAACAGUGACCGUAGGAGAGCUUGUAGAGGCAGAGUUUAUGGUCGGGGUCGAUGAUGUGGCGGAGGUUGUUGGGGAGGCGGGUGCAAUAUGAGUGAACGUGGAAGUGGCAGUCUUUGCAAUGGUAGAAAUUGUCGUGGAUGGAUUCACGGCAAACGUCGCAAACCCGGUGGGUUCGAGACGGAAUAAGGGGGUUGCGAAUCAUGUGAGUGAGCUUGUGGCCGUGGAGGAAGGAGGAGAGUUCGUGGGGGUAGCCGGUGUCGGGGAAAUAAUUCAUCGGGGUCGGAGUCGGAGGAUGGUGGUUGACACUUUUGGGCAGCGGAGCCAUUAGAGAGAAAAAAAAGAGAGAAAAAAAAGAGAGAAAAGUAGAUAAUUUUUUAUGUUAGCACUCUUCUUUUAUCUUCACUAGUUGAUUUUGGCAAAUUAGACUUUUGGGGUUUUCUUUAAAAAAAAAAUUCGAGGUCACAAUUUGAUGGUGAUGUGUUUUUCUUAAUUUUUUAUUUACCUAAUAAUAAAAAUAUGAGAGAAGAAAUAAGGAAGGAAUCCAUGCAAUAUGCGUCUCUCUCUUUCUCUCAAAGUUGAAUUUGUAUAUAAUUUUUUUUUUUGUUAAUUUAAAGACGUUUAAUUUGAGUGACAUUCAAACCAUGGUUGAUUGUAGGAGGUGAAAGUUAUGUGUUUUGUUUUGGUCACCAUUAGUUUAGUUUGGUUUGUUUCAAAAUAAUUUUAAAUGGUCAUUAGUUUUGAUUAUGAAUUGAAUAAACACCAAUAAAAAAAUUGACCGUAUGAUAAAACUGAAUGAAAUUAAAUGAAAUGUGAAAUUUCAUGUUAUUUUAAGCCUAAUUAAGUUGGGUCUCCCAUACAACUUUCCUUUUCCUUGAUAAGAUAAAGAUUAUAUGUAAUUAUUCGACAAUCAUCUCUUCUUUGUAUACACUAUAAAUAUGCAUUCAUAAAAUUUACAUGAAUCAUGCGUUAAUAUCAGUAAAUUUAAAUAGACAGAUUGACGUUACAUAUAAUGAUUGGAGGUGGUAUGAAAAAUUGUUCCUAUUAGACAAUAGUAUAGAAAAAAUCUUCAAUACAACCUAAAGUACAUUUAAUCUCAUGUAGGAAUUUGUUCUAGAUACCAAGGGAGUAUUAUACUCCUUUCGUUAAUGCUGUAUAUUUGUCAUCAUAAAUAUUUGUAGUGCUUUUGUAUAUUUACAUUAAUAUUAAUGGAUUCUACUAUAUUUUUAAAUACGCGUGACACAUAAUAAAAAAACAAAUAUUCUUUUAAUAAAAAAUUUACCUCAUGGUGAAAUUUUAGUAGGAAGAAAUUGUGUAGGCUAAGGCAAAGAUUAGUUGUUUCCUUUUACGUUUUUUUUUUUUUUUUCUUUUUUUGUUGAAAUAUUAUGGGAAGUCACUAUAACAUGAUGUUUCUUUUUCUUUCUCACUUUCUAUCAUCUACGAAAUUGUUCUCUAUAAAUUAAAAUUUAAAAGAAAAUUAUUGUAAGAAUGUCUCACCUUUAACUUUUUUUUUUCUCUCUAAUAAGUUGUCGAAUUGAUUUGUUAAAAUUAGCUCAUAACCAUGUUUUAUGAUUUUGCAAAACACAAUAUGACAAAAUCUUUAUGCUCGACCCAAUUGAAAUAUCUCAAUAGCCCCUAGCAAAGAACAAAAAAAACUCUUGAUUACUAAUUGAUGGAUUUUAGUCAUGCAUAGUGCAAGUCGGAUCGAAGAAAUUCUACCCUAAUUGCUUUUAAUUAACAUGUAAUAACCUUAAAUAAUUAGAAAUUAGGGGUUUACAUACCUUAAAUCUUUACACUAAUAUUCAUAUGGACGACCAUUAGAAUUGAUCCGCUAUUCUCUAGACUUGAAAUCAAGUUGUGGAGCCUGAUGGAUGAAGGAACACUAGAAAAGAGAAAGAGAUGGAAAUUAAGGAGGGAGAAUUUUUUUGUAAAGUUGAACUUUAUGUAGAGACAUAAAUGUGAGAGGGUAAGACCAUUUGUUCAAGACUUGAAUUUAAUGCUUAAGGAAACCACCUUUGUACUAACUCUACAUAACGGAGUAUGGGUGAAUUUCGUCUUGAACUUUGUGUCCCAAGUUAUCCACCUAGCUAGCCUAGCCAGUCUUUAUCCCUGAAAUGGAAGGCGUAUUGGACAGCAGUAUUAAACUGUCUUCAACCAUGUAGAUCAAAGGAUUAUUUCGUGUGAACAAGAGUUCACAGUUAAGCUCACAAUUAAGAUUAAGUUACCUAGAUCAUUAAUAAAAGAAAUAGUUAGUUUUAUAAAAUAAACAGUGUUAUAAUAUAAAAAUGACUAUUUCAUGGUUUAAUCUUAUGUAAACUCUCUUUAAAUAAGAUAUCUUAACUUUCAUGUCUCUACAUGAACGAUUCAGGAUCACAUCGUUUGUACUAACUACAAAGCAUGCCACAUCCAUAAUGUCUCCAGAAUAAGGCACUCAAUCUGCUUCAUACACUAUAGACCGCUUAGGCUAUAUACUCAAAAUUUGAUCCACGUUUACAUUUCUACAUAAAGUUCAAGUUUUACUCAAGAUAGCCUCGAGACUUUAGUUUAUUGGAUUCAAUAUUAUAGUAUUCAAUUUCACUAAUAAUUCCUCAAUAACCACUUUAUUGAAACAAAAUAUGAUCUCAGGCUUUUCUACAGAAGUUUCAGGAGCCUAAGCCGCCUUUCGAUUCCACGCAAUAUUCUUUGCACUGCACCGUGGGAGUGGAGUCAAGGACCUUUCAAUAUUUCAUUCAUAUUUGUAGACAAAGAUAGGCUGAGGAUGGAGGGAGAGAAGAAGUCGGACGAAUGAAAUUCCCCUUUCGCACUCAUCCAUGGGCAAGAUCUGGACAAGAUCUCGCCCAUGGAUGAGUGCGGCCUAUUUCUUUCUAUAAUUUACAAGCUACGAGCUUUAGAACAUAAAUUUCAACACCUAUAUGAUUAACAUUUGAUUAUCAAUUGUUAGUGCCUCACUUGAUUGGUUAAACACAUAUUUGAUUAAGUUUCCUGUCAAGUUGUUUUCAUGGUUGUCUCAUAAUACGUUUCAGAAUAUUCUUGUCUCAACAAUUGUCAUAGAAGUUGAGAAAGUUGUGACGAUUCAUUAUAUUCUAUUGAUUCUUUUUUGCUGUGUCGUGCUUUUCUAGAAUAUUCUUGCUUUGUUGUCAAUAAUAUUGAUUGUAUCUAGUGGUUGUCUGAUUGCUAAGUAGUUUAUGGAUGUCGUACGACCACUUUUCACUUUUUGUCAAAUACUAAGUCAUUUUUUAUUAUCAUUUGAUUGUCAUCUAAUUGGCUUCCAUAUAUAUAUAUUUUUUAGGUUAGGUUGGGUUGAAUUUUCGUGUUAUUUAUUUCUUUUUUAUUUUAAGUAUAUUAUUUGUUAAAACACUAAAUUCAUAAACUCAAAUAUUAAAUAUCAAAAUUAAACAUAUUUAUUACAAACUUAAAAAAAAUUCAUAAUAGUAUGUAUGAAUUAUACCAUUUAUACAUUGUAACAUAUAUUUUAGUAAUAUUAGAUAUUCGAAAUGGAUUGGAUCAACCCAAAUUUUAAAAAGAAUGUAACUCGAACCAAAUUCAAUCUCGAAAAACAUUAAAAAAUUCAAUCAAACUCAAUUCAAAAUAGAAAUUAAAUCCAAUUCAAGUCUUACAAUUUGAAUGGAAUAAUGUAGAUUGUUGGGUUAUAACAUUAAUAAUCUUACACGUAUUUAAAUAAUAAUAAUUAAGGAUUUAAGGUGAGUUAUGUACAUAAACUAAUCAUUUAAAAUAAUCUAUUUAAUUAAGGCUAAAUAUUCUAGGGAUAAAACCUAUUCCUAGAUUGAUUAGGAUUUAAUGGAAGCUAAUAUAUAAAGAAACUUAGGCUCUCCUCUCCAAUAUACUAAAACAAUAAAUACUCAGAAUUUUUCUAUUCCGUUGAGUUGAGAGAUCCUGAGCAAGACACAGUAGUCAUUUUAUAGCCAAGAGAUCCUGAGCAAGACACAAUAGUCAUCAAUUACUGAAAGAUGAAAUUUAGUAUGUAAUUUAUUCUUGACAAUUUGACAUAAAUGAUCUUGAAUUAAUCUAUUAUAUAGAUCUAAAUAUGGAUGUCUAACCCAUUUUGGUUGAAAAAAUUAUUAUAACAAAUAUAAUUGAAAUAACUAAAGAAUGUCAUCUCAUUCAACUAAAACCACGAUUAGAUUUCGUGGAGUUCUAUAGUUCGCUUUCAAAGAAAAAAAAAUUAUAUUCAACUAAAUAAAUUUUCUCAUGCAUGAUCUCUUUUCCUAAAUUUGUAAUUAAUUACAAAUAAUCAACACACAAAUUAAAUAACCAAAAUAUAUUUUCUUUGUCGGUUGGUGUGUAGCAAUGGAUUCUUCAAGUGGUUAUUUACCAUUACCAUUGAAUCAUUAUGUUGGCGUCAAGUUUAGGCCUACCGACCAACAACUUCUUCAUUAUCUUCAUUGUAAGAUUUAUGGUCAGCCUUAUUUUCAAGGAGCUGUUUUCGACUUUGAUCUUUAUGGUGGAGUCGAGCCAUGGGAAAUCUGGCAAAGUUUCGGAGGAAUUGAUGGUGAAGAUCUUUACUUCUUCACUAAGCUCAAGAGGUCGACAACUAACUCUGGAAAUUUGUCUACUCACAUUAACCGCAAGAUUGGACUCGUCAAUGGUACUUGGAGUGGUGAGAAUUCAGCUAGUCCAAUUUAUGUUAACAAAGAUCAUGAACAAAUAAUUGGUUAUCGCAAGCGCUUUAGGUAUGUGUUUCGGUUUUCGUUUUUGUUAAACUAGUUCUCAAUAUAUAUGUGUCAUUGUUGGGUUUGUUUUAAGCUAUUAGGGAAUUGUCAAGGUAUUUCUCUAUUUGGUAUUUUGUGAUAAAUAAUAUAAUUUUGUAAAUUAUAGGUAUGAGAAUGAGUCGUUGGAAGAACACCAUGGUGAAUGGAUAAUGCAUGAAUAUAGCUUGCAUCCAGAUUAUUUGAGGUGUGAAGGUGUGGAUCCCAAUUAUGUUUUAUGUCGAAUAAGGAAGAAUCAAAGGGCUAAAAGAAAAUUAGAAACUGAAAGUGAGCUGAAACAAUCAAACAAGAAAAGAAUGAAGGUACGUGAGAUCUCUAAUAAUGAAAGACCAAAAGCAAAAACAAAAACAAAGAAAAGAUGUGACGAGUUACAACCAAUAGAUCAAAGAGCAAUAAUAUGUGAGACAAUCUACAACUCGGAUAUCAGACAUGAUGUGAAUACUCAUCAAGAUAUUACUGUUGUGGAUCAUGUGCCAAAUAUGACCACUAAUCAAGAUAACAUAAAUGAAAACACUAGUUUGGGUACCAAAGAAUACGUACCUUGCAUGUCCACUGACAACGAAUUGAGAGAUGAGUUCAACAAUGUUGACUUUUCUACUUAUUUUCAAAACAACUUCAACGAGACAUCAUGUACUUUCAAAGUUUGAUUGGACAUAGUCGUUAUUCAUUGUAUAGAUAUGAUGUGGAAUGCAUUAUUAUUAAUGAACUAUCAUUUAUUUAUUAUCAUUUAUUUAUUUUUUGUAAUACAAUAAAUAUUAUUCUUUGUCGCUCCAAAUAACACCUUAGUAUCUAUCUAUUUUCAUACUACAAAAAUAAUUUAAAUUCUAUAUAAAAAAAAAUUAUAUUGAAGUAUUGACGGAAGUAACAACCAAAGUUCCAAAAAAUCCAAUGAAAAUCAAUGAAAUUUAGAUUAAACUUUAGAGAGCCGCUGAAUUGAAACAUCUUCCAUAAACAUAUUAUAAGUUAUAAAUUUAGAUUUAAUUUUUAAGUAUUUCUAUUUUGUUGAUUUUUUUUUGUUGUAAUUCAGUUUCUAAUAGAUAUUUGUUAUGUGUGAUUGUCUUGUAUUUCUAAUUUAAAUUUUAGUUUUGGUUAAAUAGUUUCCAAAAUUUUGAAUUCUAUAUCUAUUUAAUCUUUAAAUUUUUAAAAGUGUCAAUACAUCUUAAACUUUUCAUCCUCUAUACAAGUUAUCUAUAAGUCUAUCUUUAUUCCGUCAAACUAUCACGUUAAAAUGUUAAACGUUGCAACAAAGUUUGGCCAUUCAUACGAUACAUAUCCUAAAAGUAAAGAAGAGUUUUUCUUUUCUAGAUCCUUUUGACAAUACAAUACCGAGAAAUUCAACAUGAAAAAGCAAGCUAACCCUAAAGUGCUCAGAUUUAAAGUGUCCUAAUCAUCUUCUUUUUUUUUUUUUUUGUUGAUGCUGCUUUUAAGAUUUUUUCAAAGUCUAUAAAAAAAAAUCAUACAAAUAACAUCAAAUCACAAUAAACACAUUACCAGGUUCAUGCGAGCAUAUAUUAAAAUUUUCAUACAUUUUCUAUAACAAAAAUUAUCUACUACGACAGUUGUUUACAUUAGAAAUUGGAAAGGAGAAAAAAAAAACUGAAAACGAAAAUUAAAGGGUUUUAAAGCUUUCCCUCAAAUCAAAAUUUCUCCCAAAUUAAAAACCUUCGUUCCUCCCGAAAGAAGUCAUCUCCAAAUGUAAAAAAGGUCAUCUUCGGACGAUGCCAAUUCCCAUCACCACCCUCUCAUUCUCGUCUCCUCACUCUAGCGCCUGUCGUAACCUCAUCUACCGAACGACAAAGCCUCCUCUAUUGUAACCUAUUCAAUUUGUGUCUGUCAUCUCCAAUUCGCUGCAAUCUCUUCAACGUUCAAACUGUAGUCGUCACCUCCUCUGUCGGUAAGUCAUCUGUUCCUCUUCUCUUUCUCUCUCCCGUGAAGUUUUGCUUAAGAGAGAAAUUUCCUACUUGAAAUUUUUUCCAGAUUUUCCAUUACGCAAAAAAUUUCCUUUCUUCCUUUUUCUAAUUUGAUGAUGAUUAUGAAGAUAAUCACGAGUGUUUCAUCUCCAGAUUUUUGUUCUACUUGAUUCAUAUUCGUUUCUUUGUUUUCUUUGAUCGAAACUCUGUUUCUUUCCCAAAAUUCGACCGCCACGGAAAAGCUUUCCUUCAAGGAUUCGCUUAAAGCACUUGAAGUCGAUGUUCAGCAUGUCAAUACGCUGUAACCCUCUUCUUCUUUUUCUUUACGUAUCAAUUUUUUUUUAAAUUUUUUUGUUUGUUUUGUUUGCUAUAAAUCGUUGUGAAUUAAGAAACUGGUUCUGAUAUGUGUAUUGCUUGAUUUAGUUUGUUAACUUUCUAUUGCUUGUUUUGGUUUUCUGUAGAAGGUACUUGUUCCACUGUCUACAGUAUAAUGGACCGUUUACUUCUUGAAACUCAGUACAUUGUUCAAUGGUGGAUAAGGAAUGUUAAUGUGUCCUUUAAUAUAAUGUCGAAUCAAAGUUGACUUGAAGCUGAAAGAGAACAAGACAAAAAGGUAAAAGGUCUUGAAAAUGAGAUGUUUAUUUAAAGAAAUUUGGGUUUAGGAUAUAUUCUUUUAUUAUAUGACACCUCCCCUUGUCUUUAUAAUUUUAUAUAAUACUAUUUUGGUGAUGUGUUUUUUUGGUUUUUCUGCUGUACAUUUUUUCACGAGAAGAUUGUUCUUUGAUGUUUAGAGGAGCCUAAUACUUCAUCCUUAGUUGACCUUAGUUGAGAAAGAGCUCUCCAACUCUAACCUAAAAGGAGCUUAAAGAUAAGUAUUCGUUGACAGCAGUAGGCAGUAGGCCUUUAAUUAUUUAUCACAUUGUGAGGUCUAAUUGAAUUUCUUCAACUUCAAAUAUUUUUGUCAUUACACUCUUAAAUUAAUUAAUUUUAGUUUGCUAUAUCUAUGCAUAAACAAAUUUGUGGAUUUUAAUGUUAAUAUGUAAUCUUCCAAAUAUUGUUGGUUGUUGAUGGAAACACCAAUUGACAUUUCGACUUCUGUUAGUACUUACUUUUAUAUACCCACAAUUCUUUCUUAUUUGUAACUUGUUCCAUUCUAUUGGGAUUUUUAAUUACAAGUUCUUUUAAAAAUUGUUUAUCUAUCUAACUUGUGUCAAUAUUUAUUUAUGCCAUCAGCUUUACGAAUGUGUUUUGGUUUUGGUUUUUGUUAAACUAGUUCUCAAUAUUUUGUUAAACUAGUUCUCAAUAUAUGCAUUCAUAUAACCUGACAAUAUAGGGUUAUUGAUUUGGUUUUUAUAAAAUGAGUGAAAAAUUUGUUCAUAUAACCAAUAAUUUAACUACACCAUUCUUAAAAAAAAAUCACUCAUCUAAAUGAAGUGUGUUGUUCAUUCACAAAUUUUUCUAUUUAAAAAAAACGUUAUUUUGAAUGAGAUUAGUUCAACGUGAUUAUCUUUGGAUUGAACAGCUUUAGAGAUUAAAAAAAAAAAUUUACUCAUGCCUAUAACUUUGGUAGUCCAUUACGAUUUACCUUUUUUAUUAGACGUUAUUUGAUAAUUAUUUAAGCUUUGUUUUUCUUUUAUUAUUGUUUUUGAAAAUCAAGCCUAUAUCCAUUACUUUCGGCUCCAAAUUUUUUCUUUUUUAUUUGCAUUUUAUAAAUGGUUUAAAAAAACAAAGCCAAAAUUGAAAAACUAAUACAAAAAAAUAUACCUUUUAAAAUUUUAUUUUCUAUUUUUGAAAUUUGGUGAAGAACGAUGCAAAACAUUGGAGUGAUGAGAAUAACAUAACUUUAAUUUUUAAAAAUAAAAAAGCCAAAUGAUUACCAAAUAUGAUUUAGUUUUUUAUUCAUGGAUUUUUGAAAAUUAAUCUUUAAAAAAACUAUUAUUUUUAAAAAAAAUAAAGCCAAGACGUGAAAACUAUGUUAUUGUUUAAAUUUGGCCAUAUAAAACUUUCCGCUUGUUGAACUAAUUUCUUUUGUAUUAGUCAAAGAAUCCUGACAUUAUGGUGUGUUGAUUAUUACCUUAGUGGUUCAUUAGGUUAUUUUCUUAGUAGGGUUGUCAUUGUCCUUGGUGAAGAACAACUACUCAAGUUUUCUUUUGCCCUGCAUGCUAUAUUGCUUACUCUUGGAGAGAUUGUCGUUUCGAUCUGAUCUUGUAUGACAGGUUGUGUUUGACAAGUUGUAUAACAUAUAUAAGAAGAGAAGUUGUAGUGGGUUAGGAGGAGCCUAAUGACAUUAUGGUGAUGGAGUGAAUAAUUCAGGGGAGCUUAAUUCUAUUAAGGAGAGUCAAACAAGUAUCAACUACUUAGGGAGUAGCCUAAGUGAUCGUUAGUCUAAUCUUGUUGUCUAUCAAGAUUUCUUGAAAAUUAAGUUGUUACCUGUAAUCCUUUUCAUUUACUCUAGUGAGCGUUCUUCUUAUUCGAGCAUACUCCCUUGGACGUAGGUGUUGAACAACGAACUGAGUUACCAAUUUUUUUAUGUAAUUCUUUACUUGUUUCACUUUGUUAAUUAAUUACCUUGUUAUAACUUUUGAACUAACAUUCUAUCACUAGUUUAUAUACGUUGUUUUCUCAAACUAAAAUAAUAGUUUUUUAAAAAAAUAUAUUAUUUUUUUUUGUAAAUAUCAGGUGCAACGGAAAAACAUUAAAAUAAAUUGAGGUUUAGUGUAAUGCUACUAGUAGAGUAGUUUCUGAAUACGGGAGAGCGACUUGUCCAUAAUCCAGUGAGUGCUUGUAUAUCUUCUCAUAAAGCGACUGAGAUUUUUCUUCUCUGGUAAAAAUUCUCCUAUUUCUUUCUAACCAUAAAGACCAGAGGGUGACGACCGCCAUGUUUAAGUGGAUGAUUUGUUUUUUGGACUUGGGUCUGUUUCUGCAAAUGUAUUUGCAUAGGAGAGCAGUGUUAUCAAAGUUGUGUUAGAUGAUUUAGAAGAGUUUCAACCUUAUCCCAAAUGUCUUUGCUGUAUGGACAGAUGCAGAAUAGAUGAUUUCUGUUUUCUUCAUUUUUCUUGCAAAGAGCACACCAAGAUGGAUGUAAAACCCAAUUUGGGAGUCUUUUCUGUAAAACUUCAGCCGUGUUUAUACUUGGAAUAAAAAUUCAUCUAUAUUCAAGAAACGUGAAAACCAUUGUAUAAAAUUUGGUAGGAAAAAACAAUGCAUAAAAUACUUGACCUCCAACUUUAAACGCAUAUAUAUUAAAGAAAAAAGCUCAAUUAAUUUAAACAACCUCAAACACUAGAAUUCUACAAUGAAAGGGAAAAAGAGAGAGGGGGAAGAGAAUUACUGAACAGGGAAACAAUGAAGAAUUGAAAACACUGACCAUUACAAACUAAAAGCAAAAUUAAUUAAAAACCAAUGGAUUAACCGAAAAUAAAAUCAUUGAGAGCACCAAAUAUCAAACUCUGAACAAGAGAAUACAUUGUACCCCCAAACACCGAUCCCAAGUUACCAUGAUUCAUCUGAUGAGGAUAUUGAUGAUUAUUAUUGUUGUUGUAUCCAAACUGAACAUGAUUAUUGUAAUCCGGAGGAUAUCCCCAACCAUGAAAAUGAUCAGGUUGGGAUGGUGGCCCCAUCGCCCAGGGUGGAGGCGCAUGGUGGUGUAUCCCACGUGAACGUGAAGUCGAGGAGGCUGCUGUCGAUGUUUGAAGGCAAUUGAUAUGGAUAUUGACAUUACAAACGUUGCAGCCAUAAACCCAGAGAGAAGAAAAUUUAGCUUUGCAAAUAGAACAACGGCCAUAUGGGAGCCUGUAGAGGCGGAGCUUAUGGUCGGGGUCUUUGACGUGGCGGAGGCUGUUGGGAAGGCGAGUGCAAAAUGAGUGAACAUAGAAGUGGCAGUCUUUGCAUUGGUAGAAACUGCUGUGGAUGGUUUCACGGCAAACGUCACAACUCAGGUGAGUUCGAGAGUACGGAUGGUGGGGGUUGCGAAUCAUAUUGUGAGUAAGCGGGUGGUGGUGGAGGAAGGAGGAGAGUCUAUGGGAGUAGUCGUCGUCGUUGGGGAGAUUCAUUGUUGUCAGAGCCAUUUCUCUCCGUGAUGAGUAGAAAAGAAAAAAGAGAGAAAAAUGGAGCUCUUGGGUUAGUCGUGUUGUGUUAUAGUGAGCAAUAUUUUAUACAUCAUAAAAUUUGUAAAAACACAAUUAUAUAUUGAUACUAUUCAUAACUUCGUUCCCUUAAAUUGAUGUGACAAUUUAUAUAUUUUAAAGUUUUAAUUAGAGGAGCAAUUUUUUUUUUCAAAGUAUAGAAUUUGGAUUAUAUUAGGUGUAAAUAAAAAAAAAAAAAAACACUAAUGACCUAUUUUAAUAUACAUUAUGUAAUAACAUAAUAGCCUAAAGUUGUUCUUUAUUCUACACUUUACAAGUUUUAUUGGUUAAAUAUCUCUCAUUUGAUUUUAGUUUUAUUUAUUUUCAUGUUUUUAUUUUUAUUUUUGGUUUUUUUAACGAGAUAUUAUUCUUUUAUCAAGAUACUUUUUUUUCUUCAACACUUCUUUUCUUUCAAUAUACAUUGCUAACAUUAUAUUCAAUUUAAUUUUGCAUCACCAUAUGCAAUGAGUUUUUUUCGUAUAUAAUAAUGCAUCUGUAUUUUUCUUGUUUUGCAAUAUUUUCAUAGUAUAUCUCUCAAAUGUAUAAUGUGGUAUAUUUACUACUUUUUUUUUAAUUCCAUAAUUUCUCAUUAUCUUGUAUCUUUUCUCAAUAUAGAAUGUAUUUAGUAAUGUAUCAUCUAUCAUUCGAUAUGUAAUGAGUGUUUUCAUAUAGACUGUGUUUUCUUUCUUUCUUUCUUUCUUUCUUUUUUUUUGCAAUAUUUUCUUACGUAAUUAAUCUUUUAUAGUAUAUUUCUCAAAUAUUUAAUGUGAAUCACGAUAACAUUUUUUAAUUAUAUAUAAUUUAUGAUCAUGUAACCUUUUAACAAAAAGAGACGUGAAGAAUAAAUAUAGCUAAAAUUUAAAUAAGAAAUAUAUUUAACCAAUAAAAUCACUAAAAUGAAGGGAUCUAAUAAUACACACUAAGUAAUACACCAUAAAUAAUAGUAAUUACAAUAUAUAUCAAAUUAAAUACAAAAUCGUAUUUGAUAAUAUUUAAAGUUGAUUCUUUUAAUGUAAUUAAAUGGUAAAAUUUAGAGAUGGAAUGAGUACUCAGAUUAAUUUUGUCCUAAAAUUAAGAAAUGAGAGGUGAAUUAGACUAUAACUCUAAGUCUUUGAAAUAUAUAUAUAUAUAUAUAUAUAUAUAUAUAUGAUUGUAGUAGCAUCCACCUUUGUGUUGUAAAGAAAUUAAUGAAGAAUGUAGCAGCUUCCUUUUUCUAAAUUAGAGGGGGAAAAAGUGUUUGGAAUAAUUCAACAUUUGGGGCGGAUUUAUUUUUUGUGAUUCAUUACACAUUACAUAUGUAUAAAAGUUAAAGCUAAAGUUGAAAACAAAUACAACUCCCUUCUCGAAUAAAUAAAUAAAUAAAGCUAAAGUCUUAAGUACGAACCUUUCCUUUUUUGUUGCCUCUUUUCUUUUACAAUCUCAAAUAAUGAUUUUGUAAAUACGUGUUUCACAUUAUGUAAUCUUUUACUUUAUUUUUCUUCUUCUUUUUUUUGCUUCUGUGUUGUCUUUAAAAAAAAGAAAAAAACAUACUCAUGACUACUUCUUUCAAAAUCACAAAACAUGAAAUUAAAGAUUGUCACAAUUGAAAACCCUCAUCUAUGUCAAAUUUUCAAAUUUGAAUAUAACUAUAUUACAACACUUUUCUUUUUUACAGACCCAAAUAAAUGUCAGUCUAAGUUAUUCAGAUACAUUUUUUUACGUUGACAAAAACAUCGUCGUAUUCAUGUUAGGAGAAGUUCUUGCCGAUGAAAUUAAGUUUAGUUGGCAUAAGUACCUUUUCUCCAAUGUAUGUUGUUACGUUAGCAUACAAGUUGUGCUGACAAAGCUCAGCUUUGUCUAUAUAGUGUAUUUUUCCUAACGAAAAAUGUUGCGUUGGCAUAUAAGUUGUCCCUACGAAAAUACAUGUUUUGUCAAUAUAACGGUUCUUCACAUUUAAAAAAAAAACAUAUGCUUGUUGACGUUGCUUUUGUUAGCACAAGUGGUUUACAAUUUUAUAUAUAAAUUGUAAUUGCUAAAUAAACACUUUUUUCUCAAUAAUAUUUAAUUAUGGACGAACAAUAAUUAAAUCUCAAUUGAGGAACAAAAUAUAACAAAAAUAAGCUUGUAUAUUGAAAAUAAAAUUAAUAUUCAAUUCAACAAUGUAGCGCACGUUAGUAGUAUAAAUACAUUUGAGAAUUGCCAAGUUUUCACAAAUCUCGCACAUACAUCUUUUCCUAAGCCAAAGUUUUUCAUUCUUUUCACUUUUUGCAAAUCUCCUAUGCUAAAAUAACAUUUCAUUCUCCUAAUCCAAAAUAAGUAAGAUGUGUUACAAGAAAAUAAGUAGUACUCUCAAAAUCUUCUUCCAAUCUCCAAAAACCAAUGUUUGAGAAUUCAAUUUAGAAUGGUAUAACCUAAAAUAGAAAACACAGUAAAAGUGACAAAGUCCCAACAAAUAUGAUAUAAUGACAAUAAUAAAUAAAGUAAAAACUAAGAAAAUAGCACAUAAUAUGAACAUAAAAAAUGGAUGCAUUCAAACUACACAAAGAAUCAAAGUUUGUUGAUGAUGGAUACAUAUAUUGAACAAGUGGCCGUCAAAUUAAUAGCACAUAGUUUGAAUAUAACAAAAAUAUAAUGACAAAGUCACGUUUGUGGGUGUGAUCACUUUGUUACUUUGGAGAGAUGGAUGUACGUAAGUGCCAAAGUAAGAUAAAGUAACAAAAGUUCAUUAGACCACUCUUAUACCCUCUAUCAUUAUUUGGUCUCCUUUCACUUUUCAGUUCAAUAUCUUCUUUAACCUUCAAAAAAUCUAUCAUUAAGUUUUCUAUAUAUAGAAAAUUUUAAUUUAUUAUUAAAAUUAAAAGUUCUUAGAGUUUGUUAGGGAGAAUUUUCAUAGUAAAAAAAGUAUUAUAUUUAAUUUACACUUCAUAUUUGUUAACAUAUGAUAGAGUAGAGGUCUCUCAGUAUGUUCUAUUAUUUAUAACCCUCAAUGGUCUCUCAUUUAAAAUGGUGGGGUUUUAAUAUUUUUUUUCUUACUAAUUUUCUAAUUUUAAGAGGAUCUUUGUUAGUGGUUUUCACCAAAUUUUAUUAGGCUAAAUAAUAAAAAUUAACGCUGUCUCUUAUAAAAUAGUUGUUAAUUUUACUCUUUUUUGUUUCUUAAAGAAGUACUAAAAUAGUGUUUGAUAAAUUUUAGGAAAAAAUGCACAAACGACACUCAUUGAUUACAAUAACACUUCUGAACUAUCGAUUUGAUCAAUCAUAUAUCCCCUUAAAAGUUUAUUAUUGGUUGCAAUCAAUCCUUUGGUUAAAUAAAAUUUUAUUCAUAUUCAUAUUCAUAUGCAAUAUCCAUACGUUAUUAAAACGAAACUCAAAUAAAGACCAACAUGCAAAACUAAAAAAAUACAACAUACUAAGUAAUUAAAACGGAAGUCAAAUAAAGAAGAACACAUAACUUAAAAAUAUAUAACACACUUGACAUUUCACCACAACGGUCAAUCCAUGGACAGAGAGCAAUUGAGCAAACAUUGACUUUACAAUCUUUAAGCGGAACGAUGUAAGGGGCAGCAUAGCCCUAACCAGCCCUUCAUAAUGCCCAAGACAUUUGGGCUCUUCAACCUCAAAUACAGAUAUAUAUUACACACUUCAAAAACAAUACUCUAACCGAGAUAUUCCGUUAAUACCUCCUGACCCCUCAUUAUAAAAAAAGAAACGCUAGAUUAAUCUAAAAAGAGAAAAAGAUCUUUAUUGAGCUAAUUAAACAAAAGGCUAGAGAUGAAAGAAGCACCAAUACUUCCAGCAACAGAUGAAGCCAUGGAUGUCAAAGCCCUACAGUUUUUCUUACCCUUGGAUUGAGGAGGAGGAGGAGCUUUUGUUGUUGGCGCAUCAUACAUGGGGUAUCCUUCAUACAAACUAGAUUGAUAAGGAUAAUAAUCCUCAUAUUCAUGAUAGCUACAUUGAUGAUCAGGAGGAGGAGCUCUUGUUGGUGGUGCAUCAUACUUGGGGUAUCGGCCUUGAUAAUUACAAGGAGACCGGUGAGGAUAAUAAUCCUCAUAUUCAUGAUAGCUAGUGUGUCGAGCACGAUGAGGACGAGAAACUGGUGCUUUGUACUUAGGAUAUGAUCUUUUAUGAGGAUAAAUAUAUUCAUCGCUGUGAUAACCAUAUGUACUAUUCAUGUUUGGACUGUGCAUGCCAAAUAACAAAAAUAUGAAUAUGGCAAGGGUUAGGGUCCUUUAGAGGUUGAGAGUUUUGUGACAACAUAUAUGAUCAGAGAGGCAAUAUAUAUAUAUAAUACUUGAGAAAUUUCAAAACCAU